rnacentral:misc_RNA from 1 species
CUGCACAUGUCAGCCAUGCAUGGCGAACGAAGCCCCGUCUUCGAGGAACUGGAGGAGAUCUUCCAGAAGCGCAUCCUCGUGCUGGACGGUGGCAUGGGCACUAUGCUGCAGCGCUACAAGCUCGAGGAAAAGGACUUCCGCGGCGAGGAGUUCAAGAAUGCCACGAAGGAUCUCAAGGGCAACAACGACCUGCUCUGUCUCACGCAGCCGGCGAAGGUGCGGGAUGUGCACUACAAGUAUGCCAUCGCCGGCGCCGACGUCAUGGAGACGAACACGUUCAACUCGCAGGCGGUGAGUCAGUCCGACUACGAGACACAGCACCUUGUUCGUCGCAUCAACCUCGCCGCUGCGAAAAUCUGCCGCGACGCGGCGGAGCAAGCAAGCCGCGAGACGGGGCGGCGCAUCUUCGUCGCCGGUGUUUUGGGCCCGCUGAACCGAACGGCUUCCAUCUCGCCCUCCGUCGAGCGCCCCGACUACCGCAACAUCACAUAUGACGAAAUUGUAGCCGCUUACACGGAGCAGGCGACGGCCCUGCUGGACGGAGGCGUAGAUGUGCUGCUGAUCGAGACCAUCUUCGACUCCCUCAACGCCAAGGCGGCCCUCUUCGCGGUGAACACACUCUUCGAGGACAAGGGCUACACACGCGUUCCGAUCAUGGUGAGCGGCACCAUUACAGACCUGUCCGGUCGCACUCUCAGCGGCCAGACAGUGGACGCCUUCUACUCGUCGAUGCGGCACGGCAACAUUAUCUCGAUCGGUCUCAACUGUGCCCUGGGCUGUCGCGAAAUGCGCCCGUACGUCGAACGCCUUGCAGAGAUCAGCGAGGCCUACGUGACGUGCCACCCCAACGCGGGGCUGCCGAACGCGAUGGGUGAAUACGACGAGCUGCCGGAGGACAUGGCCCGUGACAUCCGCGACUUUGCAGUGAACGGGUGGGUCAACCUCGUCGGCGGCUGCUGUGGUACAACCCCAGAUCACAUCCGUGCCAUUGCCACAGCCGUGAAGGGCAUCCCGCCGCGUCUGAGGGGGCAGCCGAGUGAGACAAUGGUCAUCAGCGGGCUCGAGGCGCUGUACUUCACCCACCACAUCGGCUUCUGCAACAUCGGAGAGCGAUGCAACAUCAGCGGCUCGCUAAAGUUUAAGCGCCUCGUCAAGGAGGGGAAGUGGGAGGAGUGCCUGGCGGUGGCCCGCCAGCAGGUCGAGGAGGGGGCCAUGGUGUUGGACGUGAACAUGGACGAUGGCCUCAUCGACGGCGUAACCGCCAUGACGCGCUUCCUGAACAUGAUUGCCUCUGACCCGGAGGUAGCGCGAGUGCCGGUGAUGAUCGACUCGUCCAAGUUCCAUGUCAUCGAGGCGGGUUUGAAGUGCACCCAGGGAACACCGAUCGUCAACUCGAUCUCGCUGAAGGUUGGUGAGGAGGAGUUCCUGCGCCAGGCUCGCCUAAUUCGGCGCUACGGUGCCGCCGUGGUGGUGAUGGCCUUUGAUGAAAAUGGUCAGGCGGCAGACUAUGCCAGCAAGACCCGCAUCUGUAAGCGUGCGUACGACAUGCUGGUGGCGGACGGCUUCCCACCGGAGAACAUCGUCUUCGACCCGAACGUGCUGACGAUCUGCACCGGCAUGGAGGAACACAACAACUACGCCAUAGACUUCAUGAAUGCGGCGGCGUGGAUCAAGGCAAAUCUGCCCCGCGCCAAGGUGAGCGGCGGAAUUUCGAACCUCAGCUUUUCCUUCCGCGGUUUCGAGGCCAUUCGCAUGGCGAUGCACUCCGCCUUCUUGAAGAAAAUGAUCGCUGAUGCAAGUCUCGACAUGGCGAUCGUGAACGCGGGUGCUCUGCCGGUGUACACCGACAUCGAGCCCGAUCUGCUGCAGCUGGUCGAGGAUGCCAUCUACAACCGCACCCCCCACUCCUCGGAGCGCAUUCUUGAGUACGCAGAGCGACUCAAGGCGGAGAAAGCGUCCGGCGGUGGCGCCGAGGAGGCGAAGGUGUCUAAGGUGGACGAAUGGCGCAACGCCUCAGUGGAGGAGCGUCUCUCGCACGCCUUGAUCAAGGGCAUCGUCGAGUUCAUCGAGGAUGACGUUGAGGAGGCUCGAACUUGUGGCAAGUACGAGCGGCCGCUGCACAUCAUCGAGGGUCCACUGAUGGAUGGCAUGGGGAAGGUUGGCGAGCUAUUCGGUAGUGGCAAGAUGUUCCUGCCCCAGGUCAUCAAGUCGGCACGUGUCAUGAAGAAGGCGGUGGCGGUGCUGGUGCCGUACAUGGAGGCUGAGAAGGCGGCUCUUAUGGCGGAUACGAACGGCGCGUCGACCUCGCGAGCGAAGCGGGUGCUCAUGGCGACCGUAAAGGGCGACGUGCACGAUAUCGGCAAGAACAUCGUUGGCGUCGUCCUGGGUUGCAACAGCUACGAGGUGAUCGACCUCGGUGUGAUGGUCUCGUGUGAAAAGAUCUUGGCGGCUGCGAAGGAGCACGACGUACACGUCAUCGGGCUCUCCGGCCUCAUCACGCCCUCACUGGACGAGAUGGUGCACGUGGCGAAGGAGAUGAAGAGGAUGGGCUUCGGUAUCCCGCUGAUGGUGGGUGGGGCGACAACGUCGAAGCAGCACACGGCGGUUAAGAUUCAGCCGCACUACAACAAGACGGUGCACGUGCUGGACGCCAGCAAGGCCGUGGUCACGGUAUCUAACAUGCUCGGGAGCAGCGAGGAGGAGUUCUGGGAGGAGGUGCGCGAGACCUACCAAGAGAUCGCGGAGGACUACCUGGCGAACCUGAAGGACCGUGUCUACAAGCCCCUCGCCUUCUGCCGUGAGAACGCGCUGAAGAUCGACUUCGUCGCUAACCCGCCGGCGCCGCGGCCGAGGAAGCUCGGCACCAUCACCAUCAGCGACUACUCGCUCGAGAUGAUCGCCACCCGUAUCGACUGGAACCCGUUUUUCUCCGUCUGGCAGGUGCGCGGCACGUACCCCAACCGUGGCUUUCCGAAGCUCUUCAACUGCCCCACCGUCGGCGCGGAGGCGAAGCGGCUAUUCGACGACGCGCAGGAGAUGCUGAAGGACAUCAUUGCCACCCGUAGCUUCCGCGCCAAGGCUGUUGUCACGCUGAUGCCCGUGAACAGUGUCGGCGACGAUAUCGAGGUGUACAAGGAUGACACACGUAACGAGAAGAUCGCCACCUUCUUUGGGCUGCGCCAGCAAUCGGAGAAAGAGCGAGGCGAGCCGUACCUGUGCAUCUCCGACUUCAUUGCCCCGAAAGGGGUGGCGCCAGACUACCUCGGCAGUCUCGCUGUCGGCAUCUUUGGAGCGGACAAGAUGAGCGAGCAGUACGAGAAAGACAACGACAGCUACCGCUCUAUCAUGAUCAAGGCUCUGGCAGACCGCUUCGCCGAGGCCUUCACGGAGGAGAUGCACCGCAUCAUUCGCACAGACUUGUGGGGCUACGCGGAGAAGGAGACAGCCGAGACGGUCGACCUGAUCCGGAUGCAGUACCAAGGUAUUCGACCUGCCCCUGGGUACCCCUCGCAGCCGGACCACACGGAGAUGGACACAAUGUGGCGCAUCGGCGAGGUGGAGGAGCGCACGGGGGUAAGGCUGUCUGAGUCGUACGCAAUGAUGCCGGCGGCAUCUGUCAGCGCACUCGUCUUCGCGCAUGCGCAGUCCAAGUACUUUGCAGUGGGCAAGAUCCAGAAGGACCAAGUAAAGGACUACGCCGAGCGCAAGGGCUGGAAUCUAGACCGGGCUGAGAGCCAGCUCAGCUCGUCCUUGGCCUACAACUGAGCCGCGUGAUCUUCGAUAGAGUGUGAUGACUGUGUGGUGCUGUUGCCGUGGGCGCGCCUGCGUGCCCCUCUGGAGGCGCCACCCCUUCGCGUUCUUCGUCACUAUUUACUGAUUCCUUCCCUCGACGUUCUCCCUUCUCCCAUGUCCGCCUCGCCUUUUCCAUACCCGUCGCCUCAAACGCGCCGGCUGCUUCGCCUGUGCGUGCGUGCGCGCGCGCAUGUUCGCCUCUCCGCUGCAUGCUUCGCACUGAAGAAUAAAAGUUAAAGCACUGAAUGCACUACACAUGGAGUGGAGAGGAGAGUAGUGGCAGCGUCGAGGCAUGCGCUUCCGUGCACGUGCAGACAUCACCAUCACCGCUGUUUUGUUUCUUGGCGUGUAGCUGCGCCUCUCUCUCCGUACGGAUGUGUCUGUGCUUCCUCCUUUGCGUGUAUGUGUUGCUCUGGCGACGGCUGCAGUAGGCGAGACGCAUGCAACCCGCUGGUGCAGCGCUCUGUGCGUGUGCGUGUGUGCAUGUUCUUCUUGCCGCCUCCUCUUCUCUUUGUUUCACCCACCUUUAUAGAAUCCCUUUGCAGCCACCUCCGCGUGCUUACCAUCCACGCUCCUGCCCUCCCCUCUCUGCCCUUCGCCUCUUCUCCGUCUCCAAGCCGGAGGGAGGAAGGGCCACAGGGGCGUGGUAGCUGUGCGCAGCACGUGGAGAGGUGGUAGAGGCUAGUGAGAGAUGGCUGUGGGGGGAGGGAGGGGAUGAGCUGCCUGGGCGCGUCGCCUUUCUAAAUGAAACGAAUACGAUCAACCUUACUCGGGAUGCAUCCUGUUUCCAACUCGGCUGCGCUGCACCAACACACUCGUACAUGCAGGGGCGGCCCCUUUUGGGGUAUGAUACUGACUUGCACGUUGGGAAUAUCUGAAGCUGUUUGUGGCGGUGUCUGUGUACGUGCGUGCGGUUCCGUUUCUUUCGCUUGGAUCUCCCCUCUCUCUUUCUGGCGUAGUUGGGUGCUUUCCUGCUUCUACGCGCAUGCCGUCGUGGUGGGCUGGCGAAACCCCCGCUGACCCGUACUUGGCCCAUCUCAUCUUCGUGUUUUCGCUCUUCCUUGCACUUAUUGCUCCCAUUUUUGGCAUCUGUGUGGGUCUGUAUCUGUUAAGGUCCUGCUGCGCGUUGGUUAGGGGGGUAACACCCUCCAACGCCACAGCAAUGUAUGGCAGCACGAGGACAAGAAGAUGGGAGACAACUCUCCCUCCUCUCCUCGCACGCACGCGCACACGAGCGGCACUUGUCUAUGUCUAUCUUUUCCUUCAACGCAGAAAUCAACGAAGCCGCCAACAGGUCUUCUAACGUGGCAGCGAAACAGCGAAAAUAAAACGAAGAAGGCAGGCGUCGUCACCCAUGUCACUGAUGACGCGCCACGUACCUGCGGGCGACUGUGGAGAGGAGCACUUGGUAAAGCGGAGGAGCGUAUGCCGCCGCGCACGUGGACCUGUGCGAACCCUCCACCACAUCCCUCAACCUCUCGCUGAAGCCACUUGUCCCACGCAAACGCGUGGCACUCUUUGUGGCAAAGCCGAGUUAUGUUCUCGGAAAGCCCCCACCCCUUCUCCCUCUGCAUGCCUUUUCGCACUCCACGCCACACCUCUCUUCCGCUAUCGCCCACAG